rnacentral:rRNA from 1 species
AUUGAACGCUGGCGGCAGGCCUAACACAUGCAAGUCGAGCGGAUGAAGGGAGCUUGCUCCUGGAUUCAGCGGCGGACGGGUGAGUAAUGCCUAGGAAUCUGCCUGGUAGUGGGGGAUAACGUCCGGAAACGGGCGCUAAUACCGCAUCCGUCCUGAGGGAGAAAGUGGGGGAUCUUCGGACCUCACGCUAUCAGAUGAGCCUAGGUCGGAUUAGCUAGUUGGUGGGGUAAAGGCCUACCAAGGCGACGAUCCGUAACUGGUCUGAGAGGAUGAUCAGUCACACUGGAACUGAGACACGGUCCAGACUCCUACGGGAGGCAGCAGUGGGGAAUAUUGGACAAUGGGCGAAAGCCUGAUCCAGCCAUGCCGCGUGUGUGAAGAUGGUCUUCGGAUUGUAAAGCACUUUAAGUUGGGAGGAAGGGCAGUAAGUUAAUACCUUGCUGUUUUGACGUUACCAACAGAAUAAGCACCGGCUAACUUCGUG